GGAUGAAGAACGCAGCGAAAUGCGAUAAGUAGUGUGAAUUGCAGAAUUCAGUGAAUCAUCGAAUCUUUGAACGCACAUUGCGCCCCUUGGUAUUCCAUGGGGCAUGCCUGUUCGAGCGUCAUUUGUAUCUUCAAGCUUUGCUUGGUGUUGGGUGUUUGUCCUGCUCUAUGCGUGGACUCGCCUUAAAUCCAUUGGCAGCCGAUAAUCUGGUGUUAAGAGCGCAGCACAUUGUGCGCUCCUCGCUGUGUAUUGCGGCGUCCAUUAAGCCAAUAUUUUUUUUGCUCUUGACCUCGGAUCAGGUAGGGAUACCCGCUGAACUUAAGCAUAUCAAUAAGCGGAGGA
rnacentral:misc_RNA from 1 species